rnacentral:rRNA from 1 species
UACGGAGGGUGCAAGCGUUAUCCGGAUUUACUGGGUUUAAAGGGUGCGUAGGUGGGUCUGUAAGUCAGUGGUGAAAUCUCCGAGCUUAACUCGGAAACUGCCAUUGAUACUAUAGGUCUUGAAUAUCCUGGAGGUGAGCGGAAUAUGUCAUGUAGCGGUGAAAUGCUUAGAUAUGACAUAGAACACCAAUUGCGAAGGCAGCUCACUACGGGAUCAUUGACACUGAGGCACGAAAGCGUGGGGAUCAAACAGG